GAUUUCUGGCUUGAAACAUUUUGCCGGCCACGGUUUCGUGUGUUAGUGCUUGAUGUUCUGGCCAUCCUUCCAAUCGCUAUUGGUUACUCUUCAUUGAGUGGUCAGUAGUAUUGGAUCUUUUACUUUGAAAAAAUUAGAGUGUUUCAAGCAGGCUUUAUGCUAUGAAUACAUUAGCAUGGAAUAAUAAUUUAGGACUUCGGUUCUAUUUUGUUGGUUUCUAGAACUGAAGUAAUGAUUGAUAGGGAUAGUUGGGGGUGCUAGUAUUCAGUGGCCAGAGGUGAAAUUCUCGGAUUCACUGAAGACUAACUUAUGCGAAAGCAUU
rnacentral:rRNA from 1 species